rnacentral:rRNA from 1 species
GACGAACGCUGGCGGCGUGCUUAACACAUGCAAGUCGAACGGGAACCUUUAUUUCGGUAAAGGUGAGAGUGGCAAACGGGUGAGUAACACGUAGGCAACCUGCCGACAGGAUGGGGACAACAUUCCGAAAGGAAUGCUAAUACCGAAUGAAGUCACCGGAGGGCAUCCUCUGGUGAUGAAAGAUGGCCUCUGAAUAUGCUAUCACCUGUCGAUGGGCCUGCGUCUGAUUAGCCAGUUGGCGGGGUAACGGCCCACCAAAGCGACGAUCAGUAGCCGGUCUGAGAGGAUGAACGGCCACAUUGGGACUGAGACACGGCCCAGACUCCUACGGGAGGCAGCAGUGGGGAAUCUUCCACAAUGGGCGAAAGCCUGAUGGAGCAACGCCGCGUGAGUGAAGAAGGUCUUCGGAUCGUAAAGCUCUGUUGCACGGGACGAAAACCGAGCUUGAGAAUAUUGAGUU